rnacentral:rRNA from 1 species
CCUANGGGAGGCUGCAGUAGGGAAUAUUGGUUAAUGGGCGAAAGCCUGACCCAGCAACGCCGCGUGAACGAUGAAGGCCUUCGGGUCGUAAAGUUCUUUUUACAGGGAUGAGGAAGGACAGUACCUGUAGAAUAAGUCUCGGCUAACUACGUGCCAGCAGCCGCGGUAACACGUAGGAGACGAGCGUUAUCCGGAUUUACUGGGUGUAAAGCGCGUGCAGGCGGUAUGGUAAGUUGGAUGUGAAAGCUCCUGGCUUAACUGGGAGAGGUCGUACAAGACUGCCAAACUAGAGGACAGCAGAGGGGAGUGGAAUUCCGAGUGUAGCGGUAAAAUGCAUAGAUAUUCGGAAGAACACCAGUGGCGAAGGCGGCUCUCUGGGCUGUACCUGACGCUCAGACGCGAAAGCUAGGGUAGCAAACGGGAUUAGAUACCCUUNUANUC